CGCAUCUUGCACCCAAUGGUAUUCCGUUGGGUAUGCCUGUUUGAGUGUCAUUUUUCUCUCAGUCUUUUUACUUUGUUGUAAAAAGGUCUGGAAUUUGAGUGUGGUUUGAUUAAAAACCCACUUUAAAGUAAACGAGUUGACCAUUUUACGGUUUGACUGGGUGUUGUAAUUUUCGCCUCACUCGGGACGUAGCUUGGUUAAUGAUUUAAUUUUAAAAAUGACUUUGACCUCAAAUCAGGUAGGAUUACCCGCUGAACUUAA
rnacentral:misc_RNA from 1 species